rnacentral:rRNA from 1 species
CAAGUCGAGCGGACAGAAGGGAGCUUGCUCCCGGAUGUUAGCGGCGGACGGGUGAGUAACACGUGGGUAACCUGCCUGUAAGACUGGGAUAACUCCGGGAAACCGGAGCUAAUACCGGAUAGUUCCUUGAACCGCAUGGUUCAAGGAUGAAAGACGGUUUCGGCUGUCACUUACAGAUGGACCCGCGGCGCAUUAGCUAGUUGGUGGGGUAAUGGCUCACCAAGGCGACGAUGCGUAGCCGACCUGAGAGGGUGAUCGGCCACACUGGGACUGAGACACGGCCCAGACUCCUACGGGAGGCAGCAGUAGGGAAUCUUCCGCAAUGGACGAAAGUCUGACGGAGCAACGCCGCGUGAGUGAUGAAGGUUUUCGGAUCGUAAAGCUCUGUUGUUAGGGAAGAACAAGUGCGAGAGUAACUGCUCGCACCUUGACGGUACCUAACCAGAAAGCCACGGCUAACUACGUGCCAGCAGCCGCGGUAAUACGUAGGUGGCAAGCGUUGUCCGGAAUUAUUGGGCGUAAAGGGCUCGCAGGCGGUUUCUUAAGUCUGAUGUGAAAGCCCCCGGCUCAACCGGGGAGGGUCAUUGGAAACUGGGAAACUUGAGUGCAGAAGAGGAGAG